rnacentral:rRNA from 1 species
CAGCAGCCGCGGGAAAACAGAGGGUGCAAGCGUUAAUCGGAUUUACUGGGCGUAAAGGGCGCGUAGGUGGUUAUUUAAGUGAGAUGUGAAAGCCCCGGGCUUAACCUGGGAACUGCAUUUGUGACUGGCAAGCUAGAGUCUGGCAGAGGGGGGUGGAAUUCCGCGUGUAGCAGUGAAAUGCGUAGAUAUGCGGAGGAACACCGACGGCGAAGGCAGCCCCCUGGGCCAACACUGACGCUCAUGCAUGAAAGCGAGGGGAGCAAACAGGAUUAGAUACCCGCGUAGUCCCUGUCUCUUAUAC